CCUCAGCUCCAAAAUUAAGCCAGACUAUAAAUAACAGACUGAAGAUGGUCAAUAUUAGAAUAAUAUGGCAUCAAUUCACAAAGAAAU
rnacentral:lncRNA from 1 species